rnacentral:rRNA from 1 species
GUCGAGGAUCUUUAGCAAUGGGCGAAAGCCUGACUAUGCGACGCCGCGUGAGGGAUGAAGGUUUUCGGAUCGUAAACCUCUUUCGAUAGGGAAGAAACCCCUGAUUAAUACUCAGGGCUGACGGUACCUAGAGAAGAAGCCACGGCCAACUCCGUGCCAGCAGCCGCGGUAAUACGGGGGUGGCGAGCGUUACUCGGAUUUAUUGGGUGUAAAGGGCAGGUAGGCGUCCCGAAAAGUUUCAGGUGAAAUCCUUUCGCUUAACGAAAGAACUGCCUGAAAAACUAUCGGGAUUGAGUCUGGAAGAGGAGAGCGGAAUUCCCGGUGUAAGGGUGAAAUCUGUAGAUAUCGGGAGGAACACCAGUGGCGAAAGCGGCUCUCUGGUCCAGAUCUGACGCUAAGCUGCGAAAGCUAGGGGAGCAAACAGGAUUAGAAACCCCGGUAGUCC